rnacentral:lncRNA from 1 species
GAACUUCUUCAUCUUCCCACACUGAAACUCUCUACCCACUAAACACUAACUCCCACUACCCACCAAACAUUUCCCUCCCUGCAGCUCCUGCAACCACCGCUGUACUUUCUGUCUCUAUGAACUUGACUACUCUAGACACCUCAUGGGACCAGAUGUGCAGAGGUAAUGAAUACCAGGGAAUCAGGAAACCACUGGAUCAGUUCUUUGAGCCACAGAACAACACUCAUCCCAGCAGCUGGGAAGCUAUCUGCAAAAGUCCAUCUGCAGAAAGGGCUUCCUGGUCUUGCGUGUGGCUGGGCCAUUUCUCUGGAUGCAGGUUUUUCAUUAUACAGUCUUCUCAAAGAACCACCUGCUCUCAACACCUUCUCGGUGACUCCAUUUCCCCUCCUCUGGGCUCCUGGAAUGCCACAAUGGCCCCACCUUAGCCAGGCAGCUGUGAUG